AUUGAACGCUGGCGGCAGGCCUAACACAUGCAAGUCGAGCGGAGCGGCGGUCGGGUGCGUAAUGCCUAGGAAUCUGACUGGUCGCGGGGGAUAACGUCCGGAACUGGGCGCUAAUACCGCAUCCUCUCACCUUCGCCUAGGUGGGAUUAGCUAGUUGGUGGGGUAAAGGCCUACCAAGGCGACGACCCGUAUCUGGUCUGAGAGGAUGAUCAGUCACACUGGAACUGAGACACGGUCCAGACUCCUACGGGAGGCAGCAGUGGGGAAUAUUGGACAAUGGGCGAAAGCCUGAUACAGCCAUGCCGCGUGUGUGAAGAAGGUCUUCGGAUUGUAAAGCACUUUAAGUUGGGAGGCGUUACCAACAGAAGAAGCACCGGCUAACUUCGUGCCAGCAGCCGCGGUAAUAC
rnacentral:rRNA from 1 species